UACGUAGGGUGCGAGCGUUGCCCGGAUUUAUUGGGCGUAAAGGGCGCGUAGGCGGUGAGAUGCGUCCGUUGUGAAAUCGCCCGGCUCAACUGGGCGGGGUCAGCGGAUACGGUCUCACUUGAGCAAGCUAGGGGGCAAUGGAAUUCCCGGUGUAGCGGUGAAAUGCGCAGAUAUCGGGAAGAACACCCGUGGCGAAGGCGGUUCUCUGGGACGGUACUGACGCUGAGACGCGAAAGCGUGGGGAGCGAACAGG
rnacentral:rRNA from 1 species